UAGACCAGGCUGGCCUCGAACUCAGAAAUCCGCCUGCCUCUGCCUCCCAAGUGCUGAGAUUAAAGGAGUGCGCCACCACUGCCUGGCAACCGUUUUUUGUUUUUUUUUUGUGUGUGUGUGUGUGUGUGUGUGUGUGCGUGCGCGCCAGCUACUGAGACUUCUCCCAUCAGUAGAUAGCUUUGUAUGUUUUUUCCUCUGACUUAGUACUUGGAAGGCAUGGGCUCCAGCUCCGCCCCUUGCUCUUGACCCCAGAGUAGCAUCUUCAUUACUCACGCUUGGGGCUCUGUGACCUGAGAGGAGCCCCGUGACAAGAGAGGAUUUGUCUUGGCUCAGCCUAGAGCUUGUAGCUCAGGGGCAGCCAGCCCCACAUCCCUGGCAUUGAUGGAAGCAGGAGGGAGGGAUGAUGGCUCAGAGGCACUCACCUCCUGGCAGCCAGGAAACAGAGAAGACGAGGCAGAGCCAAGCUAGGCUGGCAGAGCAUGUCCCCAGCAGCCCCACCCCCACCCCAGGGAGGGCUGCUCACCCAGUCAUGGUUCCAUGGUUGAAUUAGCUCAUUGGUUAGGACAGAGGACUUGUGAUCUGUCUUCCAGGGUGUGUGCUUGGGUUACUCUGCAGUCAAGUUGUCAAUCAGGACUGUCAGUCACAUGCAGCAUACAUAGGUGCAGAGCUCUGACAUCCCAGGGUUUUGGUUUUUAGUUUUUGUUUUAAUUAAGUGCUGAGAGCCUAUGGUGGUGGUGCAGACUUUUAAUCCCAGCACUCGGGAGGCAGAGGCAGACGCAUCUCUGAGUCGAGGCCAGCCAGGUCUAUAGAGUGAGUUAAAGGGCAGCCAAGACUUCAUAAAUAAACCCUGUCUUAAUAACC
rnacentral:lncRNA from 1 species